rnacentral:misc_RNA from 1 species
CACACGCCGAUUUUGUUUGUGGAAUAUUGACUAAUGGUACCAUGAGAAUAAUUAUGAGAUCGACCGACGCGUAAUAUAUACUCCGAGAAUCAUUAUCCCGAAUUGGUAUUUAUGAAUGUUGGUGAAGUUUGUAUACAAGUGGAGCAACAGACUUAAAAUGUUUGUUUAAUGAACAGAGCAUUCAUUGGAUGGCAUUUUGAAUAUAAAUGUGACUGAAUUUGGUGAUGAUUACAAUAAACUGGAUAAAUUGAUAAGCGUUUGUAACACGCGUCCAGUUUUGCUGCUGACAAUUGAAACAAGGGGCGUGCUUUGCAAAUUUUGAUAAAUCCAUAUAUAAAAAAUUACGCUGGUAACGAAAGAGACUAAAAUGUGGUUAAAAGGCUGAUUUUACUGUGUCUUUUGAUAGCCAAUUUUACUAGCAAUAUAAAGAAGGUUAGAAGGACAUUUAGAAAAGAUCAAGAAGAAAACUGCUGGAUGGACAGUUUAUAAUAAUGAUGUCUAUUUAUGAAGUAUCAAAGGAGGUUCCUCCAUUCAAUGUAUGUGUGAUGCGGAGGAAAAGCUGUCAUUUUCGCCAGUGAUAGGACAAGGACAAAGAAAACUGUCGAUAUUUGCUGUGAAGAAGUAAUUCGAUAAACUAGAACGACUGAGAGUAUGUUAUUUGGGACAUUUGCUUUAAAGAUUCUUAAAACGUGCAUUUGACAGGGCUACCAAGUAAUCUACCAAAGUAUCCGUGAAUGCUGAAUUUCACGGUGCAGUACUGCAUAUAUGUUUACCGAGAAGCAAAAGAAUGGUGAUAUCAACAACAACUCAAUAAGAGUUGGUGAAUUCUGUCAACAGUAAUGAUGCCUAUGUGGACAACGACAAAUAAUUUACACUGGAAUCUUCAUGUUAUCUUUGUGUGCAUGUUGAAUGCAGCUUUACUCUCGCUUGCAACGAUAGAGAACGAUCAAGAGCAAACUGUAAACAUAGGUGUAAUAAUAGACAAUGCUGAUGCUAGAAUGAAACCGAUAAGACAUUCUAUAGAAAUAGCCAUGCAGGCUUCUAACAAGUCCAGAUCUGCAAAAAUGAACCCACUCAUUGAAACAAGCGACUUCAGUGACAGUUUCAAACUUGCACAAACUUUUUGCACACUAGUUGCCAAACAACCAAUCGCCUUAUUUGGCAUCAGUCGUGGUGAAGCGUUUAACAUUUUUGAAUCCUACAGUAGAGCCUUAAAUAUACCAAUGUUUUUACCCACCCAAACUCGAGGAACGACCGAAAAAGACAGCUUUUUGAUAAACAUGUGUCCUUCCGUCAUAGAUGCUUUAAUUGACGUAAUAAAGUACUUUCGCUGGGAGAGAAUAGUAUACUUGUUCGACUCAAACGAUGCGAUAUGGCGGCUGCAAAAGCUUUAUCAAGCAUUUAGCGAGAACAAAUAUUACGGCCGGACCCAGACUGUGAUUGACACUGUGCGUAUACCUGAUGUUGCAAACAUUAGAGAUCUCCUGCAGAAAGUGGACAAACAAUUCAAAUGCAAGCGGGAUGCAAAGAUAUUUGUUAUAGAUCUCAGCUCAUUGCAAAAUUAUAACAUAUUUAUGAAACAGGUUGUAGAAGUUGGAAUGAAUAAAGACGGCUACCAUUAUAUUUUAGGAACGCUGGAUAUAAAUGGUAUGAAUAAAACGUUGUGGAAGUCAUUUACUUUUGGUGGUGUCAAUGUGACCGGUUUUCAGCUAGUGAAGGCCAAUCAUCGACAUGGUAUUCUCGCCGGACUUCUAGAAGAUAAUCAGCAACCAUCGGUAGAAGUGGCUUUAAAUGUUGAUGCCGUCGCAGUUCUAACCACAGCUGUUAUGGACAUGAUGGAAAUGAGAAAUGGAGAUAAAAAGAUAAUCAACUUUCGAAGAGGACAUCUGUAUAUGGACAUGAACUGUAGUUCAAACCCGGUCAGAGGAAUGAAAAAGGGGCAUUUAGUUUUGCAACAAAUUCUUAAUGUUACUUUGGAAGGUUCAAACGAAGGCUUGUCGGGAAAAGUGGCGUUUGAUAAAUAUGGAAACAGGAAGGGUUACAAACUAGAUAUGUUUCAUCUGAGUUACAACUCUGAAUUUCGAGAGGUUGGUUAUUGGGAGCAAGGUACUGGAUUAAGAGAUAUGUCACUCAAACCGUAUGCUGAUGAAGAUGAAGAGAAACCAGCAAAUGCGACAAUGAUUGUUACCACAAUUAUAAGCGAACCAUUCAUACAAUUGAAAGCGGAUGACAAUGGUGAGCCCCAUGUUGGAAAUGACAGAUUUGAGGGCUAUUGUAUAGAUAUGAUGAAACUGUUAGCAGAAAAGAUAGGCAUGAAUUACACGAUAAAAUUGGUCGAUGAUGAGGAAUUUGGAUCUCAAGUAAACAACUCGUGGAAUGGACUGAUUGGAGAGUUAUUAAGAAAGGAAGCUGACAUUGCUCUUGCUAGUUUAACGAUAACUCGCAAGAGAGAGGAAGCAGUUUAUUUUACCAAACCUUUCAUGAGCACCGGAAUUAGUAUCAUGAUAAAGAAACCGGAAAAAGAGAAACCUUGGGUGUUUUCCUUUAUGCAACCUUUAUCGUUUGAAGUUUGGGGAUGCAUAUUGUGUGGAUUUUUUGCUGUCAGUUUCAUUCUCUAUAUGGUGGGAAGAUUCAGUCCAUUUGAAUGGAGAAAUGAGGGUAAUGGAGAAAAGGCCCCAUCAGAUACUUUUUCAUUUGGCAAUAAUAUCUGGUAUUCAUUAGGUGCACUUUUACAACAAGGGCCGGAUGAAUUUCCAAGAUCGCUUUCAGGUAGAAUUCUUGCAAGUGCCUGGUGGUUUUUUACACUUAUCACAAUAUCCUCUUAUACAGCGAAUCUAGCUGCAUGCUUAACGUUUGAAAGACUAAUAACUCCUAUCAAUUCAGUAGAUGACUUAGUUAAACAAAGUAAGAUAAAGUAUGGUACACAAGAGGCAGGAUCAACUUAUGACUUUUUCAAGGAUUCUUCUGUGAUGGUGUAUAAACAGAUGCACGAAGUAAUGCAGGAAACUAGUCCCUCUGUAUACGUAGAAAAUCCUAAAGCUGGCUGGAAACGUGUAAUCAGUGGGAGGGGCAAAUAUGCAUUUUUACUCGAGUCAUCCAGUAAUAAUUACUACAGUCAACGCAAGCCUUGUAAAACUAUGAAAGUAGGUAGAAAUCUGGAUGAAAAAGGAUAUGGCAUUGCAACAAGAAAAUUUUCACCUUUAAGGGAAAAGGAAAGAAGGGACUUAAUCUGAGCAAUGUGUCUGGAGUCUUUCAUAUAUUGAUUGGCGGACUUGUUCUAGCAGUGUUUAUAUCCAUUUCACAGUUGGUGUUCUAUUCAUGUAUUAAGUCACGUUCUAAGAAGAGUACGUACAAAGUAAACAACGAUAUAAAAGUGCUUGAAGAGGAGCCUCUUUCUGGGAGCCGCUACAAAGCAACGACUGAACAGCGAUAUAAUACAUUUUGAGGCGAAGGACGAUAUCAUUAGCAAUCAGUCACAUUAAUGGUUAGCAGUUAUGUGUACUUUUGUUGGGUAGAAGACAUUGAAGAACAAAGUGCACAGUUUAACAGAAUAGUAUUGUUUUAAAACGCACGUCAAAUAUCCAUAUUAUAUUGCUAUCAUGUAUUCAAGAAUUCGAGCAAGUGCCCGAAGUAUCAUCCACAAUUUACAUCCACAGACACAAGGGAAAUCAAUUAUCCAGAUCUUAUAAAGGCGUACCAACAGCACUUGAAUAUAUUGAAGUGUUUUUACAUUUUCACAUCUUGAAUUCAUACCCUGAAUAUAUUUUGUGCCUUUCAGUUCUAAACUUUUAAGUCAUGUAAUCACAGCAUUUAGUAUUCUUUUAACUUUUAAGAUACUUAUAUCAUGAAGAAAUGUAUUCAAUAUGCAGAGUAUUCGAAACAUGGUUCUAUCAUGAUCAGAAGGGUAAAACGUCUUCAAUAUAGACAUUUGCGAAUUACGUCUACGUGGACUGUGGACACCUAAGACGAUCGAUUUUCAAGGGGACCGUCUCAACAUAAUUUGAUUAAUAUAUUAUGCGCGGUAGGAAAAAUAGUUUAUAACA